rnacentral:rRNA from 1 species
AACGAACGCUGGCGGCAGGCCUAACACAUGCAAGUCGAGCGAGGACUUCGGUCCUAGCGGCGGACGGGUGAGUAACGCGUGGGAACGUGCCCUUUGGUUCGGAAUAGCCCCGGGAAACUGGGAGUAAUACCGGAUAAGCCCUACGGGGGAAAGAUUUAUCGCCAAAGGAUCGGCCCGCGUUGGAUUAGGUAGUUGGUGGGGUAAUGGCCUACCAAGCCGACGAUCCAUAGCUGGUUUGAGAGGAUGAUCAGCCACACUGGGACUGAGACACGGCCCAGACUCCUACGGGAGGCAGCAGUGGGGAAUCUUAGACAAUGGGGGAAACCCUGAUCUAGCCAUGCCGCGUGAGCGAUGAAGGCCUUAGGGUUGUAAAGCUCUUUCAGUGGGGAAGAUAAUGACUGUAUCCACAGAAGAAGCCCCGGCUAACUCCGUGCCAGCAGCCGCCGUAAUAC